rnacentral:sRNA from 1 species
UUUCCAGCAACCGAUCUUUUGGCUCUUCGGAUCGAUGAAAGAACGCAGCGAAUUCGCGAUAAGUAAAUGUGAAUUGCAGAUUUUCCGUGAAUCAUCGAAUCUUUGAACGCACCCUUGCGCUCCUCGGUAUUCCGAGGAGCAUGCCUGUUUGAGUGUCAUCGAAAUCUCAAAUCCCGGUCCGGGGGUUUGGACUUUGGGAGUCGGGAAGACGACCCGACCUCGGGACGUCGGCUCUCCUCAAAUGCAUUAGCGGUGGGCGCGAGCCUUGCACGGCACGCCCUUUUUCGACGUCGUAGUGAUCGUCGCGGGCUGGAAGGCCCCCCUCACAUGUCUCAUGCUUCCAAGCUAUAUAAAUGAUAAGGCUGACCUCAACUCAGGCAG